UAAUACGUAGGGGGCAAGCGUUGUCCGGAUUUAUUGGGCGUAAAGAGCGUGUAGGCGGCCGCACAGGUCCGUUGUGAAAACUGGAGGCUCAACCUUCAGACGUCGAUGGAAACCGUGCGGCUAGAGUCCGGAAGAGGAGAGUGGAAUUCCUGGUGUAGCGGGGAAAUGCGCAGAUAUCAGGAAGAACACCCGUGGCGAAGGCGGCUCUCUGGGACGGUACUGACGCUGAGACGCGAAAGCGUGGGGAGCGAACAGGAUUAGAUACCCUGGUAGUCCACGCCGUAAACGAUGGGUGCUAG
rnacentral:rRNA from 1 species